rnacentral:rRNA from 1 species
GGAGGAAUAUUGGUCAAUGGGGCGCGAGCCUGAACCAGCCAAGUAGCGUGCAGGAUGACGGCCCUAUGGGUUGUAAACUGCUUUUAUGCGGGGAUAAAGUGAGGGACGCGUCCCUUUUUGCAGGUACCGCAUGAAUAAGGACCGGCUAAUUCCGUGCCAGCAGCCGCGGUAAUACGGAAGGUCCGGGCGUUAUCCGGAUUUAUUGGGUUUAAAGGGAGCGCAGGCCGCUGGGCAAGCGUGUUGUGAAAUGCAGUCGCUCAACGUCUGCACUGCAGCGCGAACUGCCCAGCUUGAGUGCGCGCAACGUUGGCGGAAUUCGCCGUGUAGCGGUGAAAUGCUUAGAUAUGGCGAAGAACUCCGAUUGCGAAGGCAGCUGACGGGUGCGUAACUGACGCUCAUGCUC